CUUCAUCGCACGAGCUUCUUCCUCUCCUUCAUAUUUUGGAAUAUAAACUUGUGCUCCUCCGCUCCCCUCGCUGGAGGUGCUACCGUCCUCCUUUUGACGUUUCUCUUGAGCUCAGAGACGGCAGCUCCAUUCACACUCCACACAAAUCUAACGAGCUUCUCCCUCUCUCGGUCAAUGAGCUGUUUUUUUGUCUCCGUCGCACGAGCAUCUUUUGCCGCUGCCGCCGCCGCUCGCGUCGCACGAGCCUCCUCCACCGCCGCUCUCGUCGCAUCUUCUCCCUUCGUCAUCGUCCCUUGGAGGUUAGAUUUUUAAUCCGCUAAUUAACCGAAACUGAAGCCCUCCAUUUUUCUUCGCUUGGAGAUUUCAUGCAGAUCUGCUUCAAUCAAAACAAAUGCCCUAAAAGCUGGUAGUAACGAUGAAGGAAGACAACAUAAUAUGGUGUUGUCUAUAGUAUUGAAGGAAAAAGGGAAGAGUUUUUGGAACAGCUUUUGAGUUCUAGUAACAGAUCAAGAUCAAGGAGUGGAAAAAAGAGAUAUUCAUCUGAGGAAUUCUCAUCAUCUUCUUCAGAUGUUAGUAAGGAUUUCAAAGAGAAAAAAGGGGAGG